AUGGCGUUCAGCAGACUCAACGGCCAGAUGGAAGCCAAGGCAGCCGCGGUUUUGUUCAUUGUGCUCCUUGGAUGCUCCAUGCUCAUGUUGGUCUCCUCAACUGAUGGUGAGAUCGGCAGAUCAGGUUGUCCUCGUCUUUCGGAUGGCGAUGCCAUAGGCAAAGACGACACCCCGUUCCCAAAAAUGUGCAUAGGGAGGAGACACGGCCCUGAGAACGUCGAAUUCUGUUGUGCAACAUUGCCAGGACUACCUUGCUGGCGAACGCAGGAAGAGUGCCUCCACGUUUGCCCAUAG
rnacentral:rRNA from 1 species